rnacentral:rRNA from 1 species
AACGAACGCUGGCGGCAGGCUUAACACAUGCAAGUCGAACGCCCCUUUCGGGGGGAGUGGCAGACGGGUGAGUAACGCGUGGGAACGUGCCCUUCAGUUCGGGAUAACCCAGGGAAACUUGGGCUAAUACCGGAUACGUGCGAGAGCAGAAAGAUUUAUCGCUGAAGGAUCGGCCCGCGUCUGAUUAGCUGGUUGGUGAGGUAAUGGCUCACCAAGGCGACGAUCAGUAGCUGGUCUGAGAGGAUGAUCAGCCACAUUGGGACUGAGACACGGCCCAAACUCCUACGGGAGGCAGCAGUGGGGAAUAUUGGACAAUGGGCGCAAGCCUGAUCCAGCCAUGCCGCGUGAGUGAUGAAGGCCUUAGGGUUGUAAAGCUCUUUCGUCCGGGACGAUAAUGACGGUACCGGAAGAAGAAGCCCCGGCUAACUUCGUGCCAGCCGCCGCGGUAACAC